CCUCCUCAAUCUGCUGCGGACAGAUGUAAUGGAUGUGACUGUCGAUACCGCCCGCCGUCAGGAUCUUGCCUUCACCGGCAAUGACUUCCGUGCCGGGACCGACGAUGAUGUCCACGCCGGGCUGCACGUCCGGAUUGCCCGCCUUGCCGAUGGCGUGGAUGCGCCCGCCAACAAGCCCGACAUCGGCCUUCACGAUGCCCCAGUGAUCGAGGAUCACCGCAUUGGUGAUGACGGUAUCCACAGCCCCUUCGGCGUUCGUGCGCUGGGACUGACCCAUGCCGUCGCGGAUG
rnacentral:sRNA from 1 species